AGCUUGAUCGGUGUGGGAGUAGUGCUGCUUCAAAAUGAAGAGAAUGGCCGAGUGGUGAUUGUGUAUGCAUCGAAGAAAUUCUCAGAAGCAGAGAAGCGAUACUCGGUCAUCGGGCCAUCGUUUUUGCCUUGCUAUUGAUCGCCGGCGACAUUUCCUACUGGGAAACAAGUUUCUGUUGCAAACCGAUCACAAGCUGUUAGCGUGUCUCCAGAGCAAGAUAGAUUGCAGAGGCAAGUUGGGGAGAUGGGCGUUGAGAUUGGCUGAGCUGGAGUUCGACGUGGAACACAUCCCAGGAGUGGCCAAUGAUGAUGACGAUUGCUUGUUAAGGGCUGCUGCAGUAGCCAAGAUUGCGAAAAGUGUUGAGAAGGUGAAGAACGAGUAAGAAAAUGAAACCAAUCUGCAAGAUCUCGUCAGAUUACAGCCCAGCAAAUUUCAAUGGAGUUCUAUGUUUCGGACGACAGGGUAUGUGUAGUUAUCCCUAAAAGGAUGAAAACACAAAUCUGGGACGAGUUGUACACCUGUUUGGGACAUGUUGGUCUAAAUAAAGUGCUUGCGAGUGCACUAUCCCGGAUUUAUUGGCCACGGAUGGCAAAGCAAGUAAAAAGAUGCCUUAGAGGACAAACUGUGUGCCAUGAAUGAAGAUUUUCUGCCUGUACCUGCCCUUUGAACCUCUAAUUGGGGUGGGCGACAUUUUUGGUGAGCCUUUUCAGAGAGUGGCGAUUGAUGUGAUUGGGCCUUUACCAGUAUCAAGUGGAUUUAACUAUAUUGCGGUGGCGAUGGAUUCUUUUCCCAAAUGGGCAGAGGGUAAGGCUGUAACGGCACUCAUGGGUGGCGUCCUGGUGGAAUGGAUGAAAGAAGACUUGUUUGCUUGAUUUGGGGUCCCGCAACAAAGUGUUCUUGAUCGGGGUUCAGACAUGGAAUCAAAGGAGUUAGUGGAUUUCUUGACUUCAGUGGAAACAAGACCUCACUUCAUCUCGCCCUAUGAUCAUCAAUCGAACCCAGUUGAACGAUUUAAUCGGUCUCUGUUGAACCUAUUCCGAGUUAUGGUCAGAAAAGAUCAGAGUGAUUGGUCAGCCAAGCUCUCAAGUACGUUAAUGGCAUACAGAGAGCCACAGUGCACGAGGCAAGUGGUAUGUCUCCACGUGAAGCCGUGCUUGGGCGGAACAUGAGAUUAUCAGUGGAUGUGAAAUUCAGGGUGAAAAGAUCGGAAGACCAAUUGAAUCUCAACAAACUUCACCAAAGAAUUAUGGACUGUCGAUCAAAUACGAGAAAGACAGGAGUCAAAAGAAAGAUGGAGUGCGACAAACGAUUGAAAACAAAGGCCUAUCAAUAUGAUGUUGGGGGAGACGGUAUAUUUGGAAGAAGUUUCAGUACAGGAAUCAGGGAACGUGGAAGAAGUUAGCAAACUAACUGGUGCUAAUUUUUCAACUUCUGUGUGGCCUUCCUGCUCAAUGACAAGCAGCCAGACAACCAAAGAAGUGACCAACUGCACGUCAACGACCAUAGUAAUGGGCGUAUCAAAAGAUCAAAGUUUUCCAAAACGAUGAAGAUUAUGAUUCCUGAGAUACGUUGACCUCAACCCCCAGCCCCCCGUCAUCUGCCACUCAUGAACCCUCACGACGGUCUUGGAUAUCGAUCUUGUGCGGCUGAGUGACUGAUAGAUGGAUAGAUCAAUCGAUUUUUGAAACGCGAAACGGACCUACCCACGCCGUAGAAGUCGGUGAAGGUGGCCAAGGUGACCGAACCAAGUGGCAUGGAUCCUAGAGAAGAUGACCGCCUCGGAGGCAUUGGAUACCAAGAGAAAGAUUGAAAGUUAGUAAGCUUCAAGGCAUAUGAUUGAUGUUCAAUCAUGCCAUCCAUCGUUUCUCGCAGUCUCAAUGCCUUCAUUUUAUGGUUGAAGGCUUUGUUGGAAGAAGACCGGUCAUAUCUUCAACCUUGGCCCAAGCUGACGCAAAGACACACCAGGCCUGUCGUGUCCCUUGAGGUGGGAAAUUGCACCAUGGGCGGAUCAUGAGUGGAUUCUCGCCUCCCAAUGAACCGGAUUACCCGAGAAGAAUCUUGGUGAAAGUUCAACCCCAACCUCAAUACUGUAGUAGCCACAAUGAGAUGCUCGAUCCCUGCUUAAAUAAAUAGCUUGGUUUCUACACCCAUCAUCCAUCGCAAGCAUGAAUAACUUCAAUUACAUCAUAUUUAACUGGACUACAAACUUUAAACUCAAGAAAAACUGAAAGUGCCAAUUGUGAUUUACGUUUUUCGCGGCCAUGAGCCCACCCAGACCCGGCUAUAGGCGUCUGGGAAGACCACCUGUCAUACUACAAACUACAUAAACGUGUACAUAGUACAACAACCGCAUUCAUAAAGCAAUCAUCAAUAACUUCAUCUGGACACCUGAACUCCUUCGUCAACCCCCUAUACAUCCCAAUAGGCGGAGAGUAUCAAGGAUUGAAGAGCUCAUCCUACCUUUGCUUGAAACAUCCCAGCUAAUAUAACCACCGUGAAUUGGAAGGACCCCUCAAGAUUAUGCAAAAGGCGGGAGCGGUGAAUGUUUUGAUUGAAGAUGCCAAUCAGAAGACAAAGUUGGUCCACGUUAAUCUACUGAAACCCACAGGGGGCGUGUCAAUGAAUGCUCAUUUGGGACAACUACGAGGUCUAGGACGACCGAAGACAUGAAGGUGUUGCUUGCCUUGUGGGAGUCCUUGGGACUAGGUAGGAGGUGUAGCUGGAGAUGCCAGGUUCUCCCCUGUGCGUUCAACCAUUUUUGCUUACAACACGUUUGUGUUCCAAUCGUUAAACACGUUGUUCACAUUUUUCGUCUUUUAGGGAAAUACAGACCAGUUUUUUGAGCGUU